UUUAAUUUUCAAAUAGCGGUUCUUUAGGCGUGGGAGGCUAAGUCUUUGUUUCCUUGGGAACCCUAAUCUUCUUUUUCAAUAUAGAAAAGCCAAUCAUCUUUCCAUUUCUUGCUUUUGCUUUUAUCAUUAGAAGAGACCAAUAGGGGUCCAGCUUAUCAGUGAUUCCUCUCCUUUUUUAGAUUUCAUGUUUUCUUUUCUUUUCUUUCCCUUGGAAAAUCAAAAAGAAAACAGAAAAAGAUCUAGGAAAAUCUCUUGUGCAAAGGAGCCAUGGGGUUGAUAUUAAAACUCUGAUAAAUACAUUUCUAUUGUAUAUCAAAUCAGUUUUAACUGGGUAUUAUUGAAGUUUAUUAUUUUAAG
rnacentral:misc_RNA from 1 species